GUUUCAAUACUGCUAAGUCAUGCCCCAGUGUCAAGCAGAGAAGCAUGUCUGGGAUCUAUCAUUCUAGUUUGUCUGCCAGGAACUCUGGUACCAAUAAAGCAUUAAACAACAAUUAUACACCACUGCAUACACUGUGGGAUUAUAACAAAAGCCCCUGCAGCAAUGGAUAAAUCACUUCCCUCACUUGUGGAUCAUCUUUUUGAUUUAUUCUCCCCUCUGACACUGUUCAUUUUUAAAUGGUUUAUAAAGCUUAUGAAACCAUGGAAGAGUAGUCCUAAGCGUUGAUUUUAAAAAUCAACAUAUCUUUCAAUUCUAACCUUGCAGGUUCCAUGGGCCUAAAGCAAAGGUCAGGCCCUUAUCCACCCGCCCAGUCUUGAAAACACUGCUCCUUCAUCCAGACCCAGGAAACCACACUACUGCCCCCACACUGCUCCAAUGGCUCCCUUGAACCAAAGGCUCGGUGUUUUGGCUCUUGCUAUAUUAGCCGAGUAUGUUUUCAAAUUUCAGGGUGUUCUCUGGCUGCGUUCUUGCUUGCGCUGAACCUUUUACACAAAAUAAAACGGGUGGACGGGAGCAGCCAGCCAGGCUUGGCUUGUAGGCCCGGCGCCGGGGGAGGAGCGAGGCGGGCUGCAGGUCACGACGGCCGCGGCCACGCAGACCCGGGCUUCGGAGGAGACAAGGCUGCGCGCGGGACGGAAGACCCAGGCCCUCCAACCUUCGCCACCUGCCCAGGCCUAGAGAGUGAGGAGGAGAACCAACUUCUUUUGCAAGACUGGACGACGGGCGAACUCAAGAAACGGAAGAGGCAGACGAGGCCCCGAGAGGUGCGGGCCCGGCGCGGGGAGAACUCGCGCGGAAAAGCGGCCUCGGGAGCAGCGCGGCCGCGACCGGGGCCGCGGGGGAGGGGAACCAACCGCCAUCUUCCCCGGCUCCCAAACCGACAAAGCACAGCCCGGCGGCCGAGCCUCGCCGCCGCGCCCCGCCCACUCUCGCGAGGCCGCGAGGGCCUCUGGGAGAGGCGGGGGAGGGGAGGGCGAGAGAAGGAAGCCAGGACUCGGUGCUGGGGGCGGGCUGAGGCGGCGAGCGGAGCCCCAGGAAGCAGAAGGGGCGGGGAAAGACGCGAUUGA
rnacentral:lncRNA from 1 species